rnacentral:rRNA from 1 species
ACUCCUACGGGAGGCAGCAGUGGGGAAUUUUGGACAAUGGGCGAAAGCCUGAUCCAGCCAUGCCGCGUGCAGGAUGAAGGCCUUCGGGUUGUAAACUGCUUUUGUACGGAACGAAACGGCCUUUUCUAAUAAAGAGGGCUAAUGACGGUACCGUAAGAAUAAGCACCGGCUAACUACGUGCCAGCAGCCGCGGUAAUACGUAGGGUGCAAGCGUUAAUCGGAAUUACUGGGCGUAAAGCGUGCGCAGGCGGUUAUGUAAGACAGUUGUGAAAUCCCCGGGCUCAACCUGGGAACUGCAUCUGUGACUGCAUAGCUAGAGUACGGUAGAGGGGGAUGGAAUUCCGCGUGUAGCAGUGAAAUGCGUAGAUAUGCGGAGGAACACCGAUGGCGAAGGCAAUCCCCUGGACCUGUACUGACGCUCAUGCACGAAAGCGUGGGGAGCAAACAGGAGUAGAAACCCCUGUAGUCCCAUGAU